CUUCAACUGACGAGUCCCAAAUAGGACAAAACACAUGUCAAACUGGAU
rnacentral:hammerhead_ribozyme from 1 species